rnacentral:rRNA from 1 species
UACGAAGGAUUCGAGCGUUAUCCGGAUUUAUUGGGUUUAAAGGGUGCGUAGGUGGAUUAAUAAGUCAGUGGUGAAAGCCCCUCGCUUAACGAGGGAACUGCCAUUGAUACUGUUAGUCUUGAGUACAGUUGAGGUGGGCGGAAUGUGUCAUGUAGCGGUGAAAUGCUUAGAUAUGACACAGAACACCGAUUGCGAAGGCAGCUCACUAAGCUGUAACUGACACUGAGGCACGAAAGCGUGGGGAGCAAACAGG